rnacentral:lncRNA from 1 species
CUUCUUGCAGAUUAUUCCUAAAUGGACUUUCUUAGCUGCUCCCAGUCUAAGAUGUUGGGAUUGUUGUGCCCAGAUUACGAAGUCCCAAAGACCACCAGGAGGCCGUUUCCAAUGUAUAUAUUUCAAGGAAUACCAUUUUUCAAAUAUCUAUAAAGACUAAACUCUUCUACAUAUUGAAGCAUUUUUACAAUUUUCUCCUGAAAAGCAUC